GUGAGUAAUAUAUCGGAACGUGCCCAGUAGUGGGGGAUAACUGCUCGAAAGAGCAGCUAAUACCGCAUACGACCUGAGGGUGAAAGGGGGGGAUCGCAAGACCUCUCGCUAUUGGAGCGGCCGAUAUCAGAUUAGCUAGUUGGUGGGGUAAAGGCCUACCAAGGCAACGAUCUGUAGUUGGUCUGAGAGGACGACCAGCCACACUGGGACUGAGACACGGCCCAGACUCCUACGGGAGGCAGCAGUGGGGAAUUUUGGACAAUGGGCGCAAGCCUGAUCCAGCAAUGCCGCGUGCAGGAAGAAGGCCUUCGGGUUGUAAACUGCUUUUGUCAGGGAAGAAAUCCUCUAGGUUAAUACCCUUGGGGGGAUGACGGUA
rnacentral:rRNA from 1 species